rnacentral:rRNA from 1 species
UGGCACCGCAGGGGUAGCGUCGGGGGUAAGACGGUGGGGUCGUUGGUGGUCCGGAAUUACCGGGCGGAAAGAGCUCGUAGGUGGUUGGUGGCGUCGUCGGGGAAAUGCCGGGGCUUAACUCCGGGCGGGCAGGCGAUACGGGCAUAACUUGAGUACUGUAGGGGAGACUGGAAUUCCUGGUGUAGCGGUGAAAUGCGCAGAUAUCAGGAGGAACACCGGUGGCGAAGGCGGGUCUCUGGGCAGUAACUGACGCUGAGGAGCGAAAGCAUGGGGAGCGAACAGGAUUAGAUACCCUGUAGUC